rnacentral:ncRNA from 1 species
UUUAGACGAGGUUCACGUCAUUUUAUUAAUUAAUAUAAAAUAUAAGUAUGUAGUGAUUUAAUUAUACAUUUAUGUUUAUAAGUAGAAUUAAAUAAAUAUUUUCAGCUUAAAAUUUUAAAUUUAAAAUUAUUUAGUUAUUAUAUUCAACAAUUAGUAAUAAAGUGCCAGCACUAGCGGUUAUACUUUCAUUGUAAAUUAAUAUUUUAUGAAUCUUUUUGACUUUAUAGUUUAAAUUAAGUAAAAUUUUUUAAUGUUUUAAGUCUUUCAUCAGAUAGAAUUAUGGAAUAGGAUUAGAUACCCUAGUACAUCUUAAGAAAAGAUUGUUAAUUAAAAAUUUUUAAAAACUGAAUCUUGGCGGCAAACGUACUAGCUAGAGGGUCUUGUUUAUUUAAUUGAUAAUACACAUUUUAAUUUACUUUUAUUUAUAAUUAUUUUAAUUGCUGUUGUAAAGGAAACUUAAAAAUAAUUUUCCUAAAAAUUUUAAAUUUUAUUAUAGAUUAGGCUUAGAAUAUAUAAAAGUUUAAAUGAGACACAAUUAUUAUACAAGCUUUAAAAUUUUGUAUAGAAGAAUUUAGUAGUAAUUUAUUAUGUAAAUUAAUAUUUAUGAAUAAAGUAUAAGUUUGUGUACAUACCGCCCGUCACUUCUUUUUAAAGAAUAAGUCGUAACAAGGUAAAUGUUCUGGAAGGAGUAUUUUUAGUUAA